rnacentral:rRNA from 1 species
AGCAGCCGCGGUAAUUCCAGCUCCAAUAGCGUAUAUUAAAGUUGUUGCAGUUAAAAAGCUCGUAGUUGAAUUUCGGGGUUAGUAGAUUGGUCAUGCCUCUGGUAUGUACUGGUCUCACUGAUUCCUCCUUCCUGAUGAACCUUAAUGCCAUUAAUUUGGUGUUUUGGGGAAUUUGGACUGUUACUUUGAAAAAUUAGAGUGUUUAAAGCAAGCUAACGCUUGAAUACAUUAGCAUGGAAUAAUGAAAUAGGACGUUCGAUCCUAUUUUGUUGGUUUCUAGGAUUGACGUAAUGAUUAAUAGGGAUAGUUGGGGGCAUUAGUAUUCAAUUGUCAGAGGUGAAAUUCUUGGAUUUAUUGUAAGACUAACUACUGCGAAAGCAUUUGCCUAGGAUGUUUUCAUUAAUCAAGAACGAAAGUUAGGGGAUCGAAGACGAUCAGAUACCGUCGUAGUCUUAACCAUAAACUAUGCCGACUAGGGAUCGGAUGAUGUAAUUUUUAAUGACUCAUUCGGCGCCUUACG